ACGCACGCUGGCGGCGUGCCUCAUACCUGCCAGUAGAACGCUGAAACUUGGUGCUUGCACCGAGCGGAUGAGUUGCGAACGGGUGAGUAACGCGUAGGUAACCUGCCUGGUAGCGGGGGAUAACUAUUGGAAACGAUAGCUAAUACCGCAUAAGAGUAGAUGUUGCAUGACAUUUGCUUAAAAGGUGCAAUUGCACCACUACCAGAUGGACCUGCGUUGUAUUAGCUAGUUGGUGGGGUAACGGCUCACCAAGGCGACGAUACAUAGCCGACCUGAGAGGGUGAUAGGCCACACUGGGACUGGGACACGGCCCAGACUCCUACGGGAGGCAGCAGUAGGGAAUCUUCGGCAAUGGACGGAAGUCUGACCGAGCAACGCCGCGUGAGUGAAGAAGGUUUUCGGAUCGUAAAGCUCUGUUGUAAGAGAAGAACGAGUGUGAGAGUGGAAAGUUCACACUGUGACGGUAUCUUACCAGAAAGGGACGGCUAACUACGUG
rnacentral:rRNA from 1 species